GUGGGGAAUUUUGGACAAUGGGCGCAAGCCUGAUCCAGCAAUGCCGCGUGCAGGAAGAAGGCCUUCGGGUUGUAAACUGCUUUUGUACGGAACGAAACGGUCCGGGUUAAUACCCUGGGCUAAUGACGGUACCGUAAGAAUAAGCACCGGCUAACUACGUGCCAGCAGCCGCGGUAAUACGUAGGGUGCAAGCGUUAAUCGGAAUUACUGGGCGUAAAGCGUGCGCAGGCGGUGUUGUAAGACAGGCGUGAAAUCCCCGGGCUCAACCUGGGAAUUGCGCUUGUGACUGCAAGGCUGGAGUGCGGCAGAGGGGGAUGGAAUUCCGCGUGUAGCAGUGAAAUGCGUAGAUAUGCGGAGGAACACCGAUGGCGAAGGCAAUCCCCUGGGCCUGCACUGACGCUCAUGCACGAAAGCGUGGGGAGCAAACAGGAUUAGAAACCCCAGUAGUCC
rnacentral:rRNA from 1 species